rnacentral:rRNA from 1 species
GGAGCGUUCUGUAAGCCUGCGAAGGUGUGCUGUGAGGCAUGCUGGAGGUAUCAGAAGUGCGAAUGCUGACAUAAGUAACGAUAAAGCGGGUGAAAAGCCCGCUCGCCGGAAGACCAAGGGUUCCUGUCCAACGUUAAUCGGGGCAGGGUGAGUCGACCCCUAAGGCGAGGCCGAAAGGCGUAGUCGAUGGGAAACAGGUUAAUAUUCCUGUACUUGGUGUUACUGCGAAGGGGGGACGGAGAAGGCUAUGUUGGCCGGGCGACGGUUGUCCCGGUUUAAGCGUGUAGGCUGGUUUUCCAGGCAAAUCCGGAAAAUCAAGGCUGAGGCGUGAUGACGAGGCACUACGGUGCUGAAGCAACAAAUGCCCUGCUUCCAGGAAAAGCCUCUAAGCAUCAGGUAACAUCAAAUCGUACCCCAAACCGACACAGGUGGU